UGUCCUUUUCAACCGAGGCCAUUCUAUGAUUCUAUGUUAUUGCAUGCAUUUUUUUGUGCUAAGAGAUACUAUUCCAAAAAGUGGCACUGUACAUAGGAAACCUUUUAAAAACCAAACCAGGGACAACUCAGCUCUUUGGCACCUGCAGUUACCUGCAGAGCAUUCAAACGUUCCCCUGCACUGUGCUCCCACUUCCCCUUUCCUUUCUCCAUGCAGGUAGGUUCCUGACUGACCUGUCACGUGGGAAUAAUGAUAAGAGGUCUCAGUGAUUCACAGCUAGGACGUGAGGAGCGCACGGCUCUUUGCUCGCGCUGUGAGGCAGUUAGUGCAAUUUGUGCUGUGUGGCUGAGCGAGCAGUUAGAACUGAAGCACGGAGCCAUCUGUUCCUCCAGCUGACGGCAGGCAUGGCGGGUAGCAGCUCGCUUCUGCUGGGAAGAAACAUCUCACUGGCAUCAGGGAAAGGUCAGGAAAGUUUUGUUCUCUCCAUCUUUAUUACAAAUUCUUUUGGAUUUUCUUUAGGCGCAGGCUGUGUGCUCCAGAGACUUUUUUGGUCCGUGAUCAGCAUGUUGGGAAGAGGGAAAUGGAAACAUGGCUGCAUUGAGCACCUUCUUUUUUCGUUUCCUACCCAGUUUUGGGGGACACCCAUCAGAGUGAGCUUUACACAAUUGUUUUGCACUUCCCUUGCUUUGAUCACCUCAAAAUGCUUCUUUAAUUGAGCCGAAGGCCACAAGAAAUAACUUCCCUUGAAAUCAGCUCUUAGAAGCAUUUUAAGAACGUAUUCUGGGUGCCAUUUUUCAUUCAUGGCAAUUACUAGAUUUCUGCUACACCAAAAAGCCAUUAUCUCAUUAGUAACAGGAAGACCAGGAAAAGGUCUGGCCUGCUUCUCAGUGAAGAAGAAGAGCUUAUUACAGAUGAUAUUGAGAAACUGGGCAUCUGGUGCCUCUUAUGCAUUUGUCCUUACUGAAAAAGAGAUACAUGGAACAGAUGGCUUGUGCAGCUAACAUGAGCAGGAAAGGAAUAAGGUGAGCCUAAGACAGGGAGAGAACAACCUGGGGAAGACUUGAGACAAUUGUUUUAAGGUGAGCCAGGCCUGACUGUCUGCACCUCUGUGUGCACAGGGAAUUGUCAGAAGCAAUCUCAGGAGUUCUGGUAGGAAUUUCUGAAAGCUGGUUGUGGACAGGCAAGGUACUAGCAGGCUGGGAAAAGUGGGAGGUAGAGCUUCUCUUUAAGAGCAUGGAUUUGGGAGUAGAGCCAAGUUAGAGUUUUAUAACACAGUAUAUAUCAGAUAAAAACUUCAAAAACUAUAUCAAACAAAGCUCAUUUGUUUUUAGGAGUAGCCAGAGGAUGUUGAUGUUCUCUAACUUGAUUUGCAGAUCUGUGAUGCUGUGGCACAAUGUUCCUAUUAGAAAAGCAAGAAAAGUACUAAAGGUCAUGAAGAAAAAGGUUUGAUGGCAGACUACGUGGAUAAUAUACUUGGAGGGCUGCUGUCACAGCUUUCUAUUAUAGGCUGUUCUCAAGCAAAUCUUUUAAUGGUUUUACAGAUAACUAGUGCUGGUCAAAGAAGCAUGUUUGUCUACUGUAGCAGAAAUGCUAAGUCACUGCUUGAAGCAGUGAUUGAGUACCUGUUAGGAAAGCAGGACCAAUCUAUGGGAGCUCAGGUGCAAGCAAUGUGCCUGGGAGACUGCGCUUGGUGGAGUCAGGAUCCACUCCUUUUCAGACCUCAUUUAAGGGUUGGCAGUGGAAGCAAGAGUGUUGUGCUGGAGAUCCCUGCAUACCUGAGGCUUCUAAGGGAAGCAAACCUGUUUCCUCAGAAUUCAUCGUGGAACUGACUGGAAGAAUGUGAUGGUCCUGCUGACCCACCCCAGAGACCUUCCUGUAUAGCUGUGGGAAGCCUGCAAAGGGGAGUUCUGCAGGGUUAGAAGAAGAGCGCAGAAGGCAUCUGGGGUGGGACAGCAUCUGCAGAUCCUUGGAGGCUGCUCUGAGUCCAGGAGGUGAUGAAGGUCGGAAGCAGUGAUGAGGGAGACGAAGGACCUGAGACAGGUGGGACAACGCUCUCAGGAAUAAGGUUUGAAUUUUGUCUGGUCCUGUGUGUUGGGCUCCAUGAUCCUUGUGAUUCUGUCAGGGGAAGGAGCAACCAGUUGGGCAGGAGCUGGAGGCAGGAAGGUGUGAGGGGAGGAUGUGAGCCACAGCAAAGAACCUCCACGGUCCAAUUCCCACCAGUCAGCAACCUGAUCCCCUCAAAAAGAGCUACGUACAGUACCACAACGUUAACCCCCUCUAAAUUCAUCUCAUCCCUUUUAGCCUUACGUUUACUUCAAGCAUUUGUGGAAGACGAUUAUGAAUGUGAAGAUGUCACGUUCGUCUGAAGAUACCUAGCGUGCUUGUGAACAUGAUUACUGUUUUAUGCCCCUAAAACCAUAGGAAAUCAGACACUAUGGUUACAAAAUGUUAAAGUGGGAAACAAAAGGCACUAAAAAGUGAGAAUUCCAGAGUCUUUAUUCUCUACAAAACCGGAUUGACUCUCAGAUGCCAUCUGCCCAGUGCACCCAGUCAGUCAGAGAUGGGACGGGAGGGAGCAGCCUCAGUGAUCACGCAGCGAUCACGCAGUGAUCGUGCAUCGCAGAGCAGUGCAGAGGGGUAACUAAUUCUGACAUAUGCUGUCUUGCAAUAGCUUUGCUUAGCAAAAGGAGGAUAUUUUCAGCACUGUCACUGGAACGUGCAAGCAUUCACACCUGCACAGGCAGGAGUGCAGCACACCUGGCUCAGGUGCUGCACGUGGAGUCAAUGGAACCACGGUCAGAUGGAAACUAACACUUCAGCGUUGUUUGGCUAGACCAGCUAUUGGGAAAAUAAUAAUUUUCCCCCAAAGGCGGAAAUCGCUUUAUUUGUCGGGAGAAGGAAUCAAUCUUUUAACUACACAGCUGUAAGGGCGUAGGGAGAGAGGUCACGUGUACCCCCUACCCCACUGUGGGAAGCCCCCCCCC